rnacentral:ncRNA from 1 species
AUUAAAAAGGCAAACCCGUCGAAAGGCGGCGACGCAAAGCUCUGGUGUCUAAUUAGUAUUCUAAACGACCGACCGGCUG